UGGGGAAUUUUGGACAAUGGGCGAAAGCCUGAUCCAGCCAUGCCGCGUGAGUGAAGAAGGCCUUCGGGUUGUAAAGCUCUUUUAGUCGGAAAGAAAGAGUUGCAAUGAAUAAUUGUGAUUUAUGACGGUACCGACAGAAAAAGCACCGGCUAACUACGUGCCAGCAGCCGCGGUAAUACGUAGGGUGCGAGCGUUAAUCGGAAUUACUGGGCGUAAAGGGUGCGCAGGCGGUCUUGCAAGUCAGAUGUGAAAUCCCCGGGCUUAACCUGGGAAUUGCGUUUGAAACCGCAAGACUAGAGUGCAGCAGAGGGGAGUGGAAUUCCAUGUGUAGCAGUGAAAUGCGUAGAGAUGUGGAAGAACACCGAUGGCGAAGGCAGCUCCCUGGGUUGACACUGACGCUCAUGCACGAAAGCGUGGGGAGCAAACA
rnacentral:rRNA from 1 species